CCUCCUGAGCCGCUUCUGCCCUUUCCUUCCUUCCUCUGACGAAGUUCCAAGUGGCUCCAGACGUAAAUCAAACACAGCUGGGUGAGCUGCAAGCCGGCACGCCGCGUCAAAUUCACAGCUGCUGCAAGGUCACUGCACUGCUUUCGGGGGAGAGGUUCUGAUUUACACCAGCCUGGCCAGGCACACUGAGGAGGGCCUGAAGGACACAGGAGAGCUGUGGGGCCGAGGCGAUGCUUGCUUGCUCCAUGCAAUAGCUGAAGUGUUUCAUUAGGUGGAUUCCCUCCUGGCUCCUCUGGUCCAGGUGGGAAGCAGGACGCAUGGCAGAUCCUUGAUAUUUUGUACCAUCCAUCGCACCCUUUCCCUCCUCCUCCCACAUCUGUGUACACAGGGACCUGCAGCUGGCAAAGCUGAAAGAAGAUGUGGCCCAGGUACACAGGAGACCACCAAGCAUCCAUCUGUCAUCUCCCCUGCAAGAGGGCUUGAUUAUUUCUUCUCCCAGGUUUCUCCCUUCUUUCACACUCAUCUGCUCAUGGGACCGGCAGUGCUGGAUUUCAACGCAUCACAUGCAUUUGCAUGUACACCUGAGAGAAUUUUUUCCCUGUGCUGAACAUGAGGAGAAACCUGUGACCCUAAGAUCGUCACCUCCCUGGGGCAGAGGCUGCUGCGUGCCUGCUGUUUGUCACCGGUUACGUUCCUGCAAAACAGCAAAUGGAUAAAAAGAGUAACCUAACACAUGGAUUUGUGGCAUCUCACAGUUAUUUUGCCGAUGCUGUGUAUAAGGAUUAAAGUGGCCAUUGUUCCAGCAUGAUAUACCUUGUGUCUUAGUCAGCAGCUUCAUUAUUUUACUUAGCAGGAGAUGGCCAAUAAAGUAUUAAGAAGCCAAAUUUGGGACUUGCUUUCCUUUCAUAUAAAGAUGCAAAAGUCUGAUUUGUACUGCCUGUAAAUUUGCCAUAUCUCAGCAUGCAAAUACUCCUGAAUAAUUUAGGCUUUCUUUAAGAAAGGAUGCGAUACA